CGGGGUGUAGCGCAGGGGGAGCGCACCUGGUUCGGGACCAGGGGGUCGGAGGUUCAAAUCCUCUCACCCCGA
rnacentral:tRNA from 1 species